rnacentral:rRNA from 1 species
CACCAGGUUGAUUCUGCCUGACGUGGACGCUAUACUCUAAGAUUAACCCAUGCAUGUUUAUUGAAUAUAAAGAAAAGACGAACAGCUCAGUAACUCUUAUUUGAUUUGAUGUAUUAGGAUUCUAACUAUGUUAAAUUAUAGGUAACAAUAAUACAAUAAGAAUAAGAUCUAUCAGUUAGUUGUUAAGGUAAUGGCUUAACAAGACUAUGACGGAUAACGGUAUUACUUUGUAAUAUUCCGGAGAAGGAGCCUGAGAGAUUGCUACUAAGUCUAAGGAUUGCAGCAGGGGCGAAACUUGACCUAUGAUAUUAUAUUGAGGCAGUUAUGAGUAGUAUUUUAUAAUUAUUGUAGUAUUGUAAGUACAUAUUACAGGAUAAAUCGGAGGGCAAAUCGAGUGCCAGCAGCCGCGGUAAUACUUGUUCCGAUAGUGUGUAUGAUGAUUGAUGCAGUUAAAAAGUCUGUAGUUUAUUUAUAAUAAGCAUUGUAAGGUAUACUGUAUGGUUAGGAGAGAGAUGAAAUGUGAUAACCCUAACUGGAUGAACAGAAGCGAAGCUGUGAUACUUAAAUGUAUUAUUAGAACAAGGACGUAAGCUAGAGGAGCAACCAUGUUACGACUUAUAUCAGAUCUAGUACUAUCUAUUCACUUUAUAAAUUUGUUCAUAGAUAAUACCAUCUUAGAUAGCGACGGGCGGUGUGUACAAAGAACAGGGACUCAUUCAAUUCUACUUAUUAAAUAAAAUUUACUAGCAAUUCCAUGUUCAAAUAUAUCUUACAUUAUAUUAUCCCUUAUAAUAUCAAAUAUUAUUGUAUUGCGCGUGCAACCCAGAUUAUCUUAGGGCAUAACGGACCUGUUUUAAUCCUCUCCUUCAUAUGUAUCACUACAUCUGUCUUAAUGAGGGUCUCACAUCUUGUUGAAAUUAAUCAUUACUUCACAGCAUCCAUUGGAAACCAUGCACCACUAUCAUGAUAAAAUAUUAUAUCAUGUUAUACCUGGUAAAUUACCCCGCGUUGAGUCAAAUUAAGCCGCACAAUCCACUCCUUGUGGUAUUCUUCCGUCAAUUUCUUUAAUUUUCAAUCUUGCGAUCAUAUUAUCCCCAGAGUCAAUAUAAUCUUAAUUUCUCUACAUAAAUAUAUAUCAAAAUAUAUCUAUGAUUCAACAUAGUUUACUGCUAGAACUACAAUGGUAUCUAAUCAUCUUCGA